GACGAACGCUGGCGGCGUGCUUAACACAUGCAAGUCGAACGAUGAAGCCUUCGGGUGGAUUAGUGGCGAACGGGUGAGUAACACGUGGGUGAUCUGCCCUGCACUUUGGGAUAAGCCUGGGAAACUGGGUCUAAUACCGAAUAUGAUCAUGCUCUUCAUGGGGUGUGGUGGAAAGCUUUUGCGGUGUGGGAUGGGCCCGCGGCCUAUCAGCUUGUUGGUGGGGUAAUGGCCUACCAAGGCGACGACGGGUAGCCGGCCUGAGAGGGUGACCGGCCACACUGGGACUGAGAUACGGCCCCGACUCCAACGGGAGGCAGCAGUGGGGAAUAUUGCACAAUGGGCGCAAGCCUGAUGCAGCGACGCCGCGUGAGGGAUGACGGCCUUCGGGUUGUAAACCUCUUUCAGCAGGGACGAAGCGAAAGUGACGGUACCUGCAGAAGAAGGACCGGCCAACUACGUGCCAGCCGCCGCCGUAA
rnacentral:rRNA from 1 species